AGCUUCUUGCUAAAUAGUUCUUUUUUUUUUAUAAUUCAAAAAUACUAAGCAAUUUUUUUACCUUUACUGUUUUACGUAUUUGUUGUGUAGUUAGCAAAAAUUUGAAUUAAUAGAUAAUUUUAUAAUCCAUGUUGUCAACGUUUGUAAAAAAUAGUCUAUAUUCUGAUUUUUAAAAGGGAAAGAAAAAAUCUUUAAUUCAAGUAAUAAAAAAUUUUCACUGCAAAUUCAUUAGGCAAAAGUAGAAGAAUAUUAAACCAGAAUAGUUUAUUUUUCUACCUUACUUAGAUGGUCUAUUAUGUACUUUAAGUGAAAACGUUUUAUCUAUUAUGUGCAAAUAUUUGAAUUAAUCUAUUAUACAGGGUUCUCACGGUCUUUGAAAAAUUUUAGUAGUGGUAUAAAUUUAAGUUAAUGCAAGAAGAUAUUUGAUAUUUUACGAUACCACUUUAUCGUUAAGUGGUUUAGAAGCUGGAAUUUUCAUGCAUUUAUAUUUCUUUGGAAAACAAUUCAUAGUGGGGGUUACACAGAAAUUAAAAUAUUGGAUUUUUUUUAUUUUCGUUACCGCUUUUUAAAAUUUUCGAGGUUCGCGGGAACCUUGAUUUUAGCAAAAAAACUUAUUUUUUAACUUAAUAAGAUUUUCUAAGUUUUAAAAAUUAUUUAGAUUAUUUGCUACUCUACUUACAAUCUUAUGAGAUAAAUUCUAAAUAUUUAAUGAUCUAGGAGAUUUUGUCUUUCCUUAAAAAAAUUAAUAAGUAAAGUUUGAAACUUUGGUCUUAAAAAAAUUUUGUAAUAGCUUUCACUAAUUAUUCACAAAAAAAAUUACUAACUGUUAAUUCCAACUUGAGGAGUAAGAAAUGUUUAAGGAAUUUUUUUACCACUUUUAACCUAAUAGGGAAAUAUUUCUAUCACAAAAGUGUUAGUCACUCUGGAUUAAAAUAAGUUGUAAAGCAAAAUAAAAAACAUUUAACUGUAAUUAAUAUCACAUGAUUGAUGUCUCUUAAGAUUAUACUUUAAACCUCAUUUUCAGUAAUUCACAGUUUAUUGUGUUAUUUAUGUUAAUGUAAAUGAUAAAAAUCUUUUCAAUUAAAUGGUAUUUUAAAAAUAAGUUAGACUUAUUAAAGUCCAACGUAUUAUGUUUCAUUACCUUAGGUGAUAUUUUUCUUCUAUUAAUAAUGGGUUUUGACUAAACCUAUUUAUAUUCAAAGAUAUAUAUAUUCUAAUGCCCAAUUAUUCUGUUUAUUAACUGUGCAAGCAUUCAAUAAAUAGUCACAUUUGUAUAUAAUUUUCAUUUCUUCAUUAUUGAAAGUUUGAUGCCUAAAAAAUAUUGUUUAAUUAAUAAAUAAAAUAUCUUGAGAAUAACCACUAAUAUGCUUAUUUAGAAUCACUCCAUUUUUUUAAUUAAAUUAUAAAUUGCAUGACUUAGCCCUGAUCUUCUGUUCAUGUCAAAUUUCAAGGUUUUUGCUUUUUUAAUAAAUUAAUUAGUUUAUGUUUAAAGCUUAUUUAUAAGUUAAAAAUUCUUAAAUUUGACAUAACGUUCAUGCUUUACUUAGUUUAACACUAAUGUUUUUGACCUCAUUUAACUCUAAUCAUUAGUUUGUUUGUUUUUCAUGGACCUAGAGUUUAUUUGAAUACAAUAUCCCAUAAUGUAAUUUGCAAAUAAUUAAUUGAAUGCUCGAGUUACAAUUCUAUUCAAGUACACACAAAGUUACUUUAUGUAUCUACAUUUUAAUUUUAUUUAUCUGCUUUUUUCUUUAGUUAUAUUUCAUUUAGAUGUUUGUACCAAGUUAAUUUUUUUUAACCUCUUUUUCUUUUCUUUAACCUAGACAUUGAGCCAAAUUGCACAGAAGUUUCCCUACCAAGUAGAGAUUAACUUAUUGAAUAACAUGUUAAAAAACUGGACUUUCAUGCAGAAAAGCAAACAGCUUUAACCUUGAACUGAAUUGAAGAUUUGAUGAAAGGAUUAUCUGUAAUAUGCCAUAACAAUGAAUUUAUUUGUCCAAUUUGUGGAUAUUCAUCUAAUCGGAAGGACAGUGUGAAACGUCAUGUGAAGACGCAUACUGGAGAAAGAGCUCAUGCUUGCAAUUUUUGCAGCAAAAGAUUUGUACACAAGCACCACGUAAAGGAACACAUCACGAGAGUGCAUUCUCUGUAUAUGAAAACAAUAACAAUAUUGGAGUCGACAAAUGUGUCUGACAAACUACCAUGAGUAACCACUUCUCUAAUUUCAACUUGUGUAAAUCCUCUAAUGCUGACUAUAUCAAAAUUAUAAAGUUUACAGAGAUAACAUGAUGUGGAUAUCGAGAAUCAAUCUAUUUUGAUAUUGUCGAUCUUUUGAGUGAAGAAAUGUAUUAUGAUUGAUAUAUAUGAAUCAUAUUUAAACUUUU